UACGUAGGGGCCUAGCGUUGUCCGGAAUUAUUGGGCGUAAAGAGCUCGUAGGCGGUUCGGCAAGUCGGAUGUGAAAUCUCCACGCUUAACGUGGAGGGGCCAUUCGAAACUGCUGUGACUCGAGUCCGGUAGGGGAGUGUGGAAUUCCCGGUGUAGCGGUGAAAUGCGCAGAUAUCGGGAGGAACACCGGUGGCGAAGGCGGUUCUCUGGGCCUUACCUGACGCUGAGGAGCGAAAGCGUGGGGAGCGAACAGG
rnacentral:rRNA from 1 species